CAGUAGCCGCGGUAACACGUAGGUGGCAAGCGUUGUCCGGAAUUAUUGGGCGUAAAGCGCGCGCAGGUGGUUUAAUAAGUCUGAUGUGAAAGCCCACGGCUCAACCGUGGAGGGUCAUUGGAAGCUGUUAAACUUGAGUGCAGGAGAGAAAAGUGGAAUUCCUAGUGUAGCGGUGAAAUGCGUAGAGAUUAGGAGGAACACCAGUGGCGAAGGCGGCUCUUUGGCUUGUAACUGACGCUGAGGCUCGAAAGCGUGGGGAGCAAACAGGAUUAGAUACCCGUGUAGUCCCUGUCUCUUAUAC
rnacentral:rRNA from 1 species